AGAGUUGUUCCCCUUCGAAUAGAUCACCAGAUUUUCGAGUGACCCGAUUUAUACCGUGCACGUUUCUUCCAACGUUCAAGUGCCGUGUUGUAGAUCUAGCGUAUGAAAGUAUCAGUACGGUUAAACUGCCAGUGAGAAGUACAAGACCAGAGAUAUGGCUAAUUGUGGAUGGCUCUGGUCGAUAAUCUGGGUGAUUAUACUGCUGGUGUUCGGAUGGCCAAUAGGACUCAUCUGUGCCCUCUUCUACUGCAUGUUAAGUCCGUUUGCGGCCUGUUGUCAUGGCUGUAGCGAACUCAUCAAUCUACUGGACCGAGGUGUAAAACUUCCAAUGACUUGUGCUCAAAACAUGGUCGCAGGAAAGUCCAUGUGUUGAUCCUGGGCAGCUUCAAUGUGGUAUAGUCCGAUAGGGAGCUCCAAGUGCAAUAUAGUAAAACUAAAGUGUGAAACUGUUAUUAUGUCGUGUAUAUCAGAGAACCUUUGUGACUUCAGACUGCAGCUGUGCGAAAGUAAUGGUUGUAUACAUGUACUUUCAUUCCAAGAUCUCAGUAAAUCCAGAAAGGAUCUUAGUUGAUAAAAUCUAAGAGUGUAUCAGCAAUGUGGAAGAAAAUUGAAUUAAGGAAACGUAAAUCAAUGAAAUUGAAAGAUUUUGCCAAAGGAAAAUUGGAAGAAUUUGGUUAUGGAUAAACAGAGUUAGCACAUGAACCCUAUCAGACAACGGUGUCCUGGUGAAUUUUUUUACAUAAUCAUACACAUGUAUUUAUAUGCUGAGGGUGCAUGCUGCCUCGUUGUAUCUGCUUUCAAUUCAUAUCCGAGUCACUAAGCAUCAUUCGAUUCUAGUUUGCGUGUAUCAAGAUGGUCACUUUGAUUUGAGGUGGAACUGUACAUUUGUAAUUAUCUCACCAGGUCUAAAUGCUUUGGAAUAUUAAGUCAAGACAGUAUAUAAUAUAGCUGGUAGUCAGCAACACAGCUAAAGGAUUGUCAGUAACAUUUGUUACAGAGCCUGUCUACGCCAAAGAGGACCAUGUAUCUCAGGGACUCGGCUAUAGGUAUUCUAUAUUAGAUCGUUGGCCGUGGACGAACUUAACGGUAUAGAUCCCUGGAAUAACAGCUUGAUUAUUACUCUUUCUGAUUAAGAUGGCUGCCGUGGCCUUUGGUUUCAGAUAUGUAAAUGUCUUCCAUUUAAAGAGUAAGACUGGUUUUAACAAAAUGAUCCCUUUUCGGUGUUUUAUAUCUGGACAUGAUUUGUUAUUUUUUGGGUCUGCAUGGUUGCUCUGGCACAUGGCUAUAGUUUUAACCAGACAUUGCAUAAUCAUCGUUGUUUUCAUUUACAAAAGAAAAAAGAAAAAUUAGUUAGAAUGGUCUAUGUUUUACUGAAUUUGGAAUCCAAGAUGGCGGCCCCAGUUUCUUCAUUGGCUGAUUUUAUUCAAAUUUUUAAAAUAAUAAUUCUUUCAAAGCCCCAAUUAUAUGUAUAACUUAAAAACUCUUUAAGAUUGCUGCCACAUUGGCCUCCGAGAUAUUUUCUUAGAACUGUCAGACUAGGUAGAGGUUACGCAGGCUUUCUUGUGCCUGAAUUUCAGAAAUAUUUUUAUAAUUUAUCAUAAUUUUAUUUAAAUGCUUAUAUAUAAUUGAUAUUACAUACUGAAGUGAUUUAAAUGUAUUUCAUUUCACUUUGUCAUUUUGUUUGAGAUCUGUUCGGGGUCAUCACCCUUGUGAAGUAAACAGUAACAUAAAGUGUUCAUACACAUCGCAGAUCUUUAUUUAUAUAUGUAUUAUGGGAUAGUAUCGUCAGUCAGGCAUAUAGCUUUAGAUGGUGUGGAAUUUACAAGAUAUUUCUUUAAGAGUUAUUGCCCUUUGUUCAUGAAUAUAAAUUUGUUCUCUCAUCAGUAUUUGAUAAGUUUCUGACCAAUUUCUUUGAAAACGAGUAGGAUUUGUUACCAUGACGUAUGGUAUUGGUUUCCUUAGCAGCACUUUGAAUAGUUCUUUUUGUUGCAUUUCUACAUUUUAUGCAUUUCUUAACCAGAAUCUAUUUACUUUGGUAUCAGAAGGACAUAUACCCAGUAUUUUUCCACCAUAUGCUAAUAUUGCUAAUUUAUUUCACUCUCAAAUUGAUGCUUGUAUUAUUGUGUGUUAGUAGUAGAAAUCAUUGUCUCAAAGUAAGUCGUAGCACUAACCAGAGCUUCGUGGGCAAAUAUGAUUUUGUUGGCAGUAACUUUUGAAGCUAAUUUUAUCAACUUGCUAAGGUCAUCAUUUUGGUCCAUAAGAAAGUAUGUAGGAAUCCAGUAGAUUUAUUUUAACAUUUUUUAAGUAAUUAUUUAUAUUUUUAUGGUAUAAUACCAGUGAAAAAUUAGUGUUUUUUACACAUGUCUAUAAUAUACCUUUUUCAAAUAGAGCCUUAAUCUUGAACCUGACCAGUAUAAAUAAUAUGGAAGGGACCAGGUGAAAUCAUAAAGCACUAUAAAGACAAUUUUUAAUUUCAAGUUAGUUGCAGUUUAUAUAUACAUUUUUGUUUUAAUAUACAUUUGUUUACAGAUUUUUAUUCUGCUGAAAUAGUUCAGUUUUUCAUUUUACAGAAUUGAAAACAUUAAUUUCUAAAGGGAAUCUGGAAGAUCUAGCUUAUUUUAAUUUAAGAAAACACAUUUUAAUGUCUAUGUGACUCUGUUGAAUGAUUAUACAAUGUACUUGCCAUACUUGAAAUGUGUAUUCCAGAUAUAGUUUAUUUCAGGUUGUAAUUAUACAAAUGUAUACAUGUAUAUUAUAUGUAACCACAGUGCUUAAGUCGAGAAUGAAUGUCAGUGUUUAGAUAUUUUUGUUAUGAUAGUAUAAUGUUAUAGAUUAUUCUGUAUACAUAUUUAUAUACCUCUCUCCUGUGCCUUUAUAUAAGCUUCAGGAUCAUGAAAUAAAAAUCCUGUCAAGUUACAAAAAUUGUAAUUUAAACAAACGUAAACAAAAUGUCAAAAUUAGUGAAACAAUAAACCUGUCAAUUUACAGCAUACUUGUCACGUCUGACACUGGAAAAGAAAACAAUAGUUUGACGUGAUUUACCAUAACUGGUUUAAAUGUUAUAUAUAUGUAGUAAUCUGCUAUGUUUUGUAUCCCAGCAAUGUACAUGUACAUAUACCGGUAUUUAUCUGAAUAACACACCGGAGAAUAAUAGCUAUCAGUAACCCCAUUACUAGGACUUUAACCAAACAAUUAUGAUAUCAGUACUUAUGUUGGAAACUACAUUAUUGAUUUGGGAUUUGACAAAAAUUUUAUAUUCACAAGUUUCAAAUUCCUGCUAGAUAUAAGUAUGGUAUAUACCAGGUAGGCACAUCAGGAAGACUUACCUGUACAGUAGUCCAGAGACGUCUCAGAGUAAUCCGAAGGUUACUCAUGUUUUAUUGGCCUUUUAAAACGCCGAUAUGGGCCGACUGUACAGGUGCACGUGGAUGAGACACCUUCUUUUGUGGAGAUGUUGUUAUACCUCAAUAAAUUCUAUGAAAAAUAUUCAAAGCUUCUAUUUAUAUGCUGUGGCUCCAGUAACGGUCUGGACACUCACAGCUGAUUUAUUAUUGACUUAUUGGAGGUACAUUAUUCCAUGAUCCUGUAGCCUAACUACCAGCUUUACUCUUACUAGAAAUAAUGUACAAGGCUUGCUUCCUUCUACACACUGUUUAGUAUACUGAUGGAGUAGUUUAUUCUGCAUUUGAAAACUUCACACUAAAACUCGUCCAAGUCAUGUGAUGUACUUGUACCAUAAAGUGCUUUUACAAUAAACAGAUUUAUUAUUCUGCAUAAUAAUCCUAUGCAUGAAAAGUUGCUCGAGGAUAAAAAGGGCAUUCCUAUUUUCUCUGUAUAUUUCUCGACUUUUGCAUGUUCAGCAAUAAGAUUUAAUCAUAAUAAAGAUGUUACUGUAUCUAGUUGAA